GACAGAGGUGCCGAGCGUUAGGCGGAAUCACUGGGCUUAAAGCGUGUGUAGGCGGGCCGUUAAGUGCCCCGUGAAAUCCCCCGGCUCAACCGGGGAACGGCGGGCAUACUGGCGGCCUUGAGGCACCAGGGGCGAGCGGAACAGGCGGUGGAGCGGUGGAAAUGCGUAGAUAUCGCCUGGAACGCCGGACGGUGAAAACAGCUCGCUGGGG
rnacentral:rRNA from 1 species